UUGAUUAAACUUCAUUGAUAACCUAUACUAAUGAAUAGGCUUUUUCCAAUAUAUAAAAAAAGUGAUUGCUAAACACAUCUCAAAAAUGGAUUUUAUUUUCGUCUUAUUCAUUUUUACUUCAGCAUUUCUAAAUUUUAACUCGGCCACAAACUGGGCGCAAAUCCAGCCUUUGAAACAAAACGCAGCAAUUCUCAACAAAAUUCCAUGGGAGAGUGACAGAAUAUUUGGUGGAGUGGAAGCUGACAGAGGAGAAUUCCCAUUCAUGGCGGCCUUAAUUUUGGACGACGUAGCCCUUUGUGGAGGAACAAUAAUAUCCAGCACAUCAGUUCUCACUGGAGCUCAGUGUUUAAUUGGUUUCCAAAGCUGCGUUGUGCACUUGGGAUUGCACAAUUUGACAGACGACGGGGAAACCGGCCGCAUUAUUGUCAAAGCGAGCAAAACCAUUCCGCAUGAAGAAUUUAGCCAAAUCAAUCUAGACAAUGAUGUUGGCGUCGUCAAAUUGCCUUUUUCCGUAGAAGCCUCAAAUAUUUCUCCUGUCAAUUUACCAAGCAGGUCUUUUGUGGAAGGAAAUUCUUUCGAAGGCUACACAUCACGAAUUUUUGGCUGGGGCUUAAUGCCUGGCGCUACGAAUUUCACUGACAUUUUGCAAACGACCGAAUCGAUUGUGAUCAAUAAUGCAGAAUGCCAGGAUCUUUUCCCUUUUGUUCCAUACGUCACACCUCUGAAAAUUUGCCUCGAUAACGUCGGCGCGUCCGGCGCCUGUGUGGGUGACGCUGGAGGUCCUGCAGUGGUGCAGAGGCCAGAAGAUGGAAAAUUUGUUCAAAUCGGGAUAAUAAGCUUUUCUGCUGGAAAAUGUGGCUACAGUUUGCCUAAUCACGAUGGUGAGCCUGGCAAGAAGCCCCAGUCGCUCAGCAGUUGUUGGUGGCUUUUCUUUCGCCAACGAAAACUCCAUCAACACCGAUGACGACGAGAUUCGCAUUUUGCAGCCGGUCCUGGGCUGCGAGGACGAGUUUUUCCAGCCCCUCGGCACAGUCACUUGCGCAGUUUUCCAGAUCAUAGUUUGCGUUUUAUUCUCUGUGCUGGCCAUCGCUCUUGUCCUGGCUUGGCCUCUGGAAAGACACGCCUGUGAGCCGUUUUACUUCAUGGCCUAUGGUCAGAUUUUCUUUUGGAUUUUUAUGAUG